GCGGGUAUAGUACAAUGGUAGUACAGCAGCCUUCCAAGCUGAAUAUGUCGGUUCGAUUCCGUCUACCCGCU
rfam:Brevundimonas sp. Root1423 contig_5, whole genome shotgun sequence.